UAGGGAAUCUUGCGCAAUGGGCGAAAGCCUGACGCAGCAACGCCGCGUGGGGGAUGAAUGCCUUCGGGUUGUAAACCCCUUUCAGCAGGGACGAAAAUGACGGUACCUGCAGAAGAAGCUCCGGCCAACUACGUGCCAGCAGCCGCGGUAAUACGUAGGGAGCGAGCGUUGUCCGGAAUUAUUGGGCGUAAAGAGCUCGUAGGCGGUUCAGUAAGUCGGGUGUGAAAACUCAAGGCUCAACCUUGAGACGCCACUCGAUACUGCUGUGACUUGAGUCCGGUAGAGGAGUGUGGAAUUCCUGGUGUAGCGGUGAAAUGCGCAGAUAUCAGGAGGAACACCAGCGGCGAAGGCGGCACUCUGGGCCGGUACUGACGCUGAGGAGCGAAAGCAUGGGGAGCAAACAGG
rnacentral:rRNA from 1 species